UACGUAGGCAGCGAGCGUUGUUCGGAGUUACUGGGCGUAAAGGGUGCGUAGGCGGUUGUUUAAGUUUGGUGUGAAAUCUCCCGGCUCAACUGGGAGGGUGCGCCGAAUACUGAAUGACUAGAGUGCGGGAGAGGAGAGUGGAAUUCCUGGUGUAGCGGUGAAAUGCGUAGAUAUCAGGAGGAACACCGGUGGUGUAGACGGCUCUCUGGACCGCAACUGACGCUGAGGCACGAAAGCGUGGGUAGCAAACAGG
rnacentral:rRNA from 1 species